rnacentral:rRNA from 1 species
AUUGAACGCUGGCGGCAUGCCUUACACAUGCAAGUCGAACGGCAGCGCGGACUUCGGUCUGGCGGCGAGUGGCGAACGGGUGAGUAAUACAUCGGAACGUACCCUGUUGUGGGGGAUAACUAGUCGAAAGAUUAGCUAAUACCGCAUACGACCUGAGGGUGAAAGUGGGGGACCGCAAGGCCUCACGCAGCAGGAGCGGCCGAUGUCUGAUUAGCUAGUUGGUGGGGUAAAGGCCCACCAAGGCGACGAUCAGUAGCUGGUCUGAGAGGACGAUCAGCCACACUGGGACUGAGACACGGCCCAGACUCCGACGGGAGGCAGCAGUGGGGAAUUUUGGACAAUGGGGGCAACCCUGAUCCAGCAAUGCCGCGUGUGUGAAGAAGGCCUUCGGGUUGUAAAGCACUUUUGUCCGGAAAGAAAUCGCGCUGGUUAAUACCUGGCGUGGAUGACGGUACCGGAAGAAUAAGCACCGGCUAACUACGUGCCAGCAGCCGCGGUAAAAC